UCUCUUCAGCACUGCGGGGGACAUAUCCCCCACGUCCCCCGUGCCUCCUGCGCCCCUGUGUAGGCUACAGGAGUGAGACAUUAUCAGAGAUAUAUAAAUGGCUCUAGCUACCGGUCUUGGAAUCUUGAUUGGUCCUCUGGCCAGGGAACUGGUGUGUCAUAGUGGUGUGGAAUGUUGGGUAGGGGCCAGGCCAUCUUAUAUCUGUCUGCAGGGAGGUGAAUCUGUGUGCGUGUGUGUGUGUGUGUGUGUGUGUGUGUGUGUGUGUGUGUGUAUGUGUAUGUGUGAGAGAGAGUGUGUGAAUCUCUCUCUCUCUCUCUCUCUCUCUCUCUCUCUCUGAGCAGGGUGUUCACACCAGAAUAACUGAGGAGACUGCAUGUCAUCACCCCCCCCCCCCCACCCCCUCUCUCUCACCGUCAAGGCUCAGUUUUAGUGUGCUUACAUAAGUGAAACAAAGAAAAUACAUUUAACAGUGGAAACACAUUUACGCAUACAGGGAUAUAAACAAUUUUAAAUCAAAACUUUAAGAUACAAAUCUGUAAAGUCUACGUAUAAGAGAGGCUAUUUUGAACGAAACGCCACAUGUAGUUCCACUGUGAAAAGAAAACUUCAGAUCAAUGGUUUGACCAAAUGGUUUUUGGACAGAGGCUGUGCAGAGAUUAUGAAUCAUCAGCUGUUUGAACAGACCUCUCGGUGUUGACACAUGUGUACUCAGCAUGUGUUACUGCACAGCAGAGAAACAUAAUCCUCAACGUCCAAGAUGACAGACUUUUCCAAAGGUUAAGACUGACUACUUUUGAUGAAACUUUCUAAUAGCUUCAUAAUCAGGGUCCCGUGGCAUGAUGGCAGCCGGCAGUGAGAGCGAUAGUGGACACAAGGAAACCUUCAGCGCCGAGCCAAAACCCACAGCCUGGGAUGGGGGGGAUUUACGCCGAAACAGAAUAGACGGAUUGUGCUUCUCUUUCCGCACUUGAAUUGCCCAUUCCAUUGAAUUAUGGAAUGGAAUAUAUGUACAAUAUAAAUAAACCUGCCUUCCAUUGCA